GAAAAAUAGCUCAGUAGUACAGCAUCUUCCUUGCAUGCAGAAGGUUCUAGGUUCAGCCCCUGGCAUCUCCA